AUUGAACGCUGGCGGCAGGCCUAACACAUGCAAGUCGAACGAGUGGCGGACGGGUGAGUACUGUCUGGGAAACUGCCUGAAGGAGGGGGACAACUACUGGAAACGGUAGCUAAUACCGCAUACCAUCAGAUGUGCCCAGAUGGGAUUAGCUAGUUGUUGGGGUAACGGCUCACCAAGGCGACGAUCCAUAGCUGGUCUGAGAGGAUGACCAGCCACACUGGAACGUGGACCCGGUCCAGACUCCUACGGUAGGCAGCAGUGGGGAAGAUUGCAGUAUGGGCGCAAGGCUGAUGCAGCCAUGCCGCGUGUAUGAAGAAGGCCUGCGGGUUGUAAAGUACUUUCAGCGGGGAGGCGUUACCCGCAGAAGAAGCGCCGGAUAACUCCGUGCCAGCAGCCGCGGUAAUAC
rnacentral:rRNA from 1 species